AUGGCCAUGGAGGCGGUGGUCUCAACUUCUUUGAGCGGCAUCAUGUCCUCUCUUGUGAAGUUGGUCGUCAACGAGUGGUGCGUGGAAAAGACCAUGAAGGACGAGCUGACGAACCUCUACGACGAGCUUAUGAACAUGGACGCUUUCCUUGAGGAUGUCUCCAGCGUGCCACCGGAUCAGCUUGAGUCGCAGGUGAAGCUCAGGGCCCGCGAGGUCAGGGAGCUGUCGCAUGCCAUCGGGACACACCUCCACUCCUUCAUGGCACGCAUCGAGUCAACCAAGGGUGCCCUCCUUCCUAGCGUGAGCAAGGUGAACAUUCAGCAAGAGAUGGACAGAUACGUCAAAGAAAUCAUGAAGAAGGUGGAGAAGGUGAGUAAACGGUAUGGCCCUUAUCCUUGUAAGAGUGCCCUGGAAAGUACUUCCUCAUUGGAAGUCAGCACACGUAUGUUUGCCACGGACACUAGGGAAUCUAACCAUGUUGGCCUAGAAGGGGCAAUUGCCGAGCUAACCAAGAAGCUGUCCAAGAGUGAUCAUGUCUCCAUUGUCGGGAUGGGGGGGAUGGGCAAGACCACCCUUGCUCGAGCAGUCUACGACAAGAUGAAAGGUGAUUUUGAUUGCGGAGCUUUUGUUCCCAUCGGUCAGAGAGCCGACAUGAAGAGGGUUCUGAUGUACAUCUUCGACGGACUUCACAUGGAGAUCUAUGGUCACGAACCAGACCAACACCAGCUAACCAACCAGCUGCAAAGUUUCCUGGUGGAUAAGAGGUGCUUAAUUGUCAUCGACGAUAUAUGGGAUAAGGAAACAUGGAACUUUGUUGAACUUGUUUUUAAGGGUUGUGCUGGAAUUAAAAUCAUCACCACCACUCGUAACCGAAAUAUUGUCAAAGGAGUUGGUGUCACAGUGUACACAAUGAAACCACUUUCCCCUGCCGACUCGAAAGAGUUGCUCCGAACCAAAGCUCAAGUUAAAAGCCAUGAUGCAGAAUUUGAUACACUGUCAGAUCAAGUUUUGUGUAAAUGUGGUGGUGUGCCAAUAGCUAUCACUAUGAUAGGUGUGUUGCUUGCAGAACAUCAAAGCAAAGAGUGGCAUGGGGUGUAUGAUUCUAUUGGUUUUGAUGAGCACAAGGAGGAUGGGGCUUUCCAGCACAUAAGGAAGGUGUUAUCCUAUAGCUAUUAUGCUUUACCCUAUAAUAUCAAGAGAUGCUUUCUGUACCUAAGCCUGUUCCCAGAAGACCACUGGAUCGAGAAGAAUAUGCUGAUAUGGAGGUGGGUUGCAGAAGGCCUUGUCCCUGAGGGGUCAUUUGAGAUUGGGGAGACCUAUUUCAAGGAGCUAAUGGAUAGGUGCAUGAUCCAGUGGGCAGUGAGCCCUCAUGACCCCAGCCAAGGUGGUUGCCGUGUCCACAUUUUGAUGCUUCGCGUCAUCCGUGACCUGUCAAGCAGCGAGAAUUUCUCCACCGUGCUAGGCCUAGGCAUGAAGCAGGAGAGCAUAUCCAGAACCAUACCCAUUCAUAGAUUAGCCAUCCACGAAGGCGAAGCAAUGGUGGGUCGAAGUCAAAACAGUAGACUGCUGGAAGUGAGGGAGGUGCUGUCAUUGUAUGCCAGCACAUGCCCCGGCAGCAGCUUGCCACCACUCCGGGAGUUUGAAAACUUGCGUGUAAUGGAUCUGGAGAGAUGUGAUUUAUCCUUGAGAGAUUCCAAUCUGGAGCAGCUCGGCAGAUUGAAAGUGCUCAAGUAUGUUGGGCUUGUCGGCAUACACAUGGCUGAGCUCCCAAGGAGAAUAGGACGCCUCAAGCUACUAGAGAUACUCGACGUGACGGCCACUAGCAUCAGAGAGCUGCCACCGUUCGUCGAGGAGCUAAGGAAGCUUAGGUGCCUGCGUGCUGGCAAGGGCACAAGGAUGAUGGGUCGGGUAGGGAUGCUGACGUGCCUGGAAGAGUUGUGGCUGCACUCGGCGGACAAGUCCCCGGACUUCGCCGCCGAGCUCCAGAAGCUGAGCGAGAUGCGGGUGCUGGUGAUCCACUUGGACGAGGUGGACGAGGGCGUGCAGAAGAAGCUGGUGGUGUCCCUGCAUAAACUGAGGAAGCUCCAGGUCCUGCAGGUCUGGUCCGACGCAGAGGAGAAGGCACGCCUUGGCAGUCGUGAUUGGGAAGGCAGCGUGCCAUCCUCGCAGCUCCGGCAGCUGCUGCUCUUGGGGAUCAUCCUACCCAGGCCGAUGCCGUGGAUCCACCACUCGCGUGUCCCCAAACUCUCCAAGCUGGUGCUGCAGGUGGAGACCCUGGAGGUGCAACAUGUGCAGAUCCUCGGGCAGAUGCCGUCGCUCCGCUCCCUCUGCCUCCACAUCCACUGCUACGGCAACCGUUUGUUGUACACCGCCGGCAAGCACGAGUUCAUGGUGCUGGCAUACCUGUACGUCACCAACAUAGAGCUGAUAUGUGGAGAGGGAGCACUUCCAAGGAUUCAGGAGCUGGAGGUUGGCGGAAUCAGGGUGGGGACGGACGUUGGUCUGCGGGGGAACAUGCCUCUCCUUGAGAGGGUCAGCUACCAUCUCGACUGCUGGGGUUGCAGCCCCGUGGAGGUGAUCAACGCAGAAGAAGAGCUAAGGCAGGCGAGCCAAGCCCACCCCAACAGUCCAGUGCUCAUCAUAAAGAGAUGGGACGGCGUCGACGUAUGUUCCAUUCCAUUUCAGGGAGCCGCUCAGUUGUCGGAGGAAGCCACCAAGUCAACAAUCAAUCCUCUUCUCUCCGGUGCCUAUGGCCAAAUCCCCCAAGCUGGCUACCUAGAUUGCAGACACACCACCACUAGAGAAAGUCCACACCAUGAAGCCAUGGAGCCAACAAGUCUACCGAUGAUCUUAUUACAGAAAAUCUCAAAUAAUUUCUCCACGAAGAGACUACUUGGUCAAGGCCACCGCAACACUCCAGCCCUCACCAUGAAGAGGUCUAACGCCGACGUAUGUUCCCCUUCAUUUCAGGGACCGUGCCGGAGUGGUUCUGAAUAUGAAGGACAAGUCUCUACCAACAGCAUUUCAGCUUGUAUCAGCAACCAGUGUACAACCAAUGUAGAGCCACAUCCACCUCGGGUCGACACGGCCGGCAGUACACUCUCACUGCUUAACAGCACAGAUGGAGCCGCUCUUCUGCUGGAGGAAGCCCCUAAGUCAACAAUCGGCCCUCUUCCCUCCAGUGGCAAUUGCGACACCCCCCAAGUUGGCAACCUAGACUGCAGCAGGCACACCACCACCGGAGAAAGGUCACCCAGUGAAGCCAUGGAGCUAACAAGUCUAACGAUGACAUUGUUACAAAAAAUCACAAAUAAUUUCUCCAAGGAGCGACUACUUGGUGAAGGCGGAUAUGGAAAAGUUUAUCUGGGUGUGCAUGAUGACGGACAAGAGAUUGCUGUCAAGCUGCUCAAUGCUAACUUGCAAACAAUUGAUAAUGAACAAUUCACACGUGAGUUUCGUAACCUUAUGAUGCUAAAGCAUCAAAACACUGUACGGUUAGUUGGCUACUGCUAUGAAACACAACAUCAACCUAUGGACUUCGAAGGAAGAUUUGUUUUUAGUGAAAGAAUACAUAAAGCCCUUUGCUUCGAGUAUAUGCCUCAGGGGAGCCUUCACGACCGUCUUUCUGAUAAAUGUAAUGUACUUGAUUGGCAAACACGUUACAAAAUUAUCAAAGGGACGUGUGAAGGUGUAAAAUACCUUCAUGAAGGAUUGGAAAAACCAUUUUACCAUCUGGACCUAAAACUGGGCAAUAUACUUCUAGAUGAAAACAUGGCCCCAAAACUUGCCGAUUUCGGUCUGUCCAAGCUCUUCAACGAAGAACAAACCUGCAGGGUGACGCAAAAUUUACGCGCAGGAACUAUUGGAUACAUGCCACCGGAAUACAUAAAUGGAGGCACGGUCUCAAAGAAGUUUGACAUAUUCAGCUUGGGUGUUGUCAUGACCAAGAUAAUUGCAGGGCCUAGCGGCCACACCAAAUGUGCUGAAAUGCAGCAUCAAGAUUUUCUUGAUCAAGUAGAAGGAAAUUGGAGAAAAAGUUUGAAAGAAACAUGGAGUUCUCCCAAGCUACUAGACGCACAAUGCCGGCAAGUGAAAAUAUGCACUGAGAUUGCACUCAGUUGCAUGAAGACGGAUAGGCACGGAAGGCCAAGUAUAGUGGAUAUCAUAAAUGACCUUAACGAGACUGAAACUUUUAUUGAAAAUGUUAGCAAUUGUGAACAAGAUCCAUCACUGCUUACUUCCACUUCAAAUAGUGUUCAACCUGCAGCAUCACCUCCACCUUCAACACAAUCUCCACCACCUUCUCCAACCAGUGGCGGAGGCAGGAAUAGUAAAUUUAUGAUCUCGAGGGGGGCCCAAUUAACAAAACAUAACAAAAAGUUUACUGUUCACGCCCAAAAUGCAAAGAAGUGGCUAAUGUCGGGGAGGGCCGGGGGCCCUGUUGAUCCCCCCCUGCCUCCGCCACUGUCUCCAACACCAUCUGCCAUUGCCACCUUCUCCAACGUUCUGACGCUAGGCCAUGAUGAAAUUGAUGUAACGUGGGAUGCUAAAGAUCAAUUCCCUGAGAAUUCCAAAGCUGAGGUGGCAGGUGUAGGAGAGGAGGAGGACCUACCAGUUGAAUCGUCUGCAAGGGUUCAAGAGAUGUUUGGGAAUACAGACUAA
rnacentral:rRNA from 1 species